UACGAAGGGGGCUAGCGUUGCUCGGAAUCACUGGGCGUAAAGGGUGCGUAGGCGGGUCUUUAAGUCAGGGGUGAAAUCCUGGAGCUCAACUCCAGAACUGCCUUUGAUACUGAGGAUCUCGAGUUCGGGAGAGGAGCGUGGAAUUCCCAGUGUAGAGGUGAAAUUCGUAGAUAUUGGGAAGAACACCGGUGGCGAAGGCGGCGCUCUGGACCGAGACUGACGCUGAGGCGCGAAAGCGUGGGGAGCAAACAGG
rnacentral:rRNA from 1 species